CGCCUGUUUAUCAAAAACAUGUCCUUUUGAUUAUUUAUAUAAGGUCUGACCUGCCCGAUGAGGUAUUCAAUGGCCGCGGUAUUUUAACCGUGCUAAGGUAGCAUAAUCAUUUGUCUUUUAAUUGAGGGCUAGAAUGAAAGGUUGGACAAAGUAUAUUCUUUCUUUAAUUUAGUAUCAUGAAUUUAAUUUUUGAGUCAGAAAGCUUAAAUUUUAUUGUUGGACGAGAAGACCCUAUAGAUCUUUAUAUUUUCUUUUAAUUGAAUAAUUUAGUAGUUUACUUAGUUUUAUUGAUGGGGGUAUUUUGUUGGGGUGACUGUAGAAUUUAAUUAACUUCUAUUUGUAUUUUUCAUUAAUUAGUGUUUUAUUGAUCCAUAUUUUGUGAUUAUAAGAUUAAGUUACCUUAGGGAUAACAGCGUUAUUUCUUCGGAGAGUUCAUAUCGAUGAAGGAGUUUGCGACCUCGAUGUUGGAUUAAAAUAAGUGAUAAGUGUAGCAGUUUAUCAACUAGGUCUGUUCGACCUUUAAAUUUUUACAUGAUCUGAGUUCAAACCGGAG
rnacentral:rRNA from 1 species